rnacentral:lncRNA from 1 species
GUCAAACAAUAUAUUACUUAUAAGGUAAAAAGAUAUCUAAAUUCUUAAUUAUCGAUGUCAAUUACUUACUGGAUACAUCCGAGUUGUCCAGAUGUUCUCCCAUGGUAUCGUUUAACGGGUUCCUUGGCUUUUCUCUUUGUAAAAUUUUUAGCGUUUCUGUCGUCUAUCUUUCUUUACUACUUUGGGGCGAUUUAAUUAUUUUCGCUUCAUCCCACUUAACAUAUAUUUAUCUCUCGUCGUCUUUCACUCCCAAGAAAUUUUCUUGGGAACUCAAAUUUCUCCGCAUAAUAUCCCUUUCGUGUUCUUUUAGCCCGUCUUUCGGGGAUUGUUUCGUUGGCCCUAUGUACGCUACUACUAUCUUUUUGUUUCGUUUGUUUUAAAAACUCCUACUCUCUCGAUUCCUUACCUUCUUAAUAUAUUAAAGAUCAUCGGCGCUCUUUUUGCAGACAUUUUCUUCUAUCCUUUUCUAACUAUAUCUUUUAUUUUUUUAUC